rnacentral:rRNA from 1 species
ACACUCCUACGGGAGGCAGCAGUGGGGAAUUUUGGACAAUGGGCGAAAGCCUGAUCCAGCAAUGCCGCGUGUGUGAAGAAGGCCUUCGGGUUGUAAAGCACUUUUGUCCGGAAAGAAAUCCUUGGCUCUAAUACAGUCGGGGGAUGACGGUACCGGAAGAAUAAGCACCGGCUAACUACGUGCCAGCAGCCGCGGUAAUACGUAGGGUGCGAGCGUUAAUCGGAAUUACUGGGCGUAAAGCGUGCGCAGGCGGUUUGCUAAGACCGAUGUGAAAUCCCCGGGCUCAACCUGGGAACUGCAUUGGUGACUGGCAGGCUAGAGUAUGGCAGAGGGGGGUAGAAUUCCACGUGUAGCAGUGAAAUGCGUAGAGAUGUGGAGGAAUACCGAUGGCGAAGGCAGCCCCCUGGGCCAAUACUGACGCUCAUGCACGAAAGCGUGGGGAGCAAACAGGAUUAGAAACCCGUGUAGUCCCAUGAU